GAUCAAGUUUGAUCCUGGCUCAGAUUGAACGCUGGCGGCAUGCCUUACACAUGCAAGUCGAACGGUAACAGGUCUUCGGAUGCUGACGAGUGGCGAACGGGUGAGUAAUACAUCGGAACGUGCCCGAGAGUGGGGGAUAACGAAGCGAAAGCUUUGCUAAUACCGCAUACGAUCUCAGGAUGAAAGCAGGGGACCGCAAGGCCUUGCGCUCACGGAGCGGCCGAUGUCUGAUUAGCUUUGUUGGUAGAGGUAAAAGCUACGACCAAGGCGAUGAUCAGUAGCUGGUCUGAGAGGAUGAUCAGCCACACGUGGGAC
rnacentral:rRNA from 1 species